UACGGAGGGUGCAAGCGUUAUCCGGAAUCACUGGGCGUAAAGGGCGCGUAGGCGGUCUGUUAAGUCCGAUGUUAAAGACUGGGGCUCAACCCCAGAUACAGCGUUGGAUACUGGCAGGCUUGACGGAUGGAGAGGCGAGUGGAAUUACCAGUGUAGCGGUGGAAUGCGUAGAUACUGGUAGGAACACCCAUUGCGAAGGCAGCUCGCUGGACAUAUCGUGACGCUGAGGCGCGAAAGUGUGGGGAGCAAACCGG
rnacentral:rRNA from 1 species